rnacentral:lncRNA from 1 species
GUGCAGGUGCUCCUCCGAGCUUGAAUGACGGUUGCGUUAGGUCUCCAAAUAGGUGUUGAAUUACCCCCGUGUGCAGCAGGUGCGAGAGUCUGACCCAGACUCGAUGAAAAUACAUUUCACGGUUGUGUUGUGGCUAUUAGUGACUGUUUGACCCACAGUGGUCUCCGUCGUGUUAUUGUUAAAAUACUCGAAACAGCCAUCACUAAAAUCAGUAUUUUUCCCAUGCUGAACUGCAGCCAGGUUUGAUUCCCUACAAUUCCUAUCACUUCUGUGGAGUCCCGCAGGAAAGGGGAAUAUUUCUGGACCAGAAAGAAGUGUUUCUAUCUAUUCGUCAUUCCCGAAAGCCCUUUUGAACCCCGGCUUUCAACCAGGCCGCUCGGCCCUCAGCGGAGGUGCCGCCAGGCAGAAUUGCAGCACUGCCUGCAGCUUUCAAAAAAAGGAACGAUACUCUUGAAGCUACAAGAUAAACGAAUUCAUAACCAAAAAUACUGACAAGCUUUAAGGGUAACUCCAUCCAAAUCUAACAACUAAAUACCACAAAACCAAACAAAUGUGUAAGAAU